rnacentral:rRNA from 1 species
UGGUGGAUAACUCUCCGAAAGGAGAGCUAAUACAGCAUAAGACCACGGCCUCGUUGAGGUUGUGGCCAAAGCAGACCUCUUCACGAAAGUUUGCGCUUAGGGAUGAGCCUGCGGCCCAUCAGCUAGUUGGUAGGGUAAUGGCCUACCAAGGCUAAGACGGGUAGCUGGUCUGAGAGGAUGAACAGCCACACUGGAACUGAGACACGGUCCAG